GCUAAUGUAGCUUAACCAAAGCAUAACACUGAAGAUGUUAAGAUGGGCUCUAGAAGGUCCCAUAAGCA
rnacentral:tRNA from 1 species